rnacentral:lncRNA from 1 species
UUUUAAUUAUUCAAUUUACAUAACAAUCAAUGAUUUUGUUUUAUGAAUUAUAUCUAUAAUGAUACUGCAAUAAUAGAGAUCUUAAAAUGAAUACACAUGCUACAUAGAUAAAAUUAACUACGAUAAAAAAACAUGUUAAUGUAAAAUUAAAAUAACUCAUAUUGACAAAAAGCACCUACACAAAGAAAAUUAUUCCAUUUUAAGAAUUUUGGACACUACAAUUUUUAUCCGACUUUAUAAUAAAAUUGGGAAUCAUCAAAAUUUUUUUGUUGAUAAUUAUGAUAAAUAAACCAUUAAAUUUAGGUCAAAGUGUUCUUGACCCUAUACUGAGUCUAUUCAUACCUAGUUGAAAAUUAAGGCCUGUAUUUUUGGAUACCUUGGAUUCAUUAUCAUUUGUUGGAUACCAAUUUUUUAGGGUUUCGUGCAUCCAGGUGAAUCACAAAUUUUCUUUGGGUUUUGCAAGCAGAGAAUAGCAAUACCACAAAAUCAAAUAUCCUGGAAAUUGUAAGUUAUCCUCAAUCCACGAAAAUUGAUACCCAUGAAAAUAAAUUAAUCUACAGUAGUUCAUGUUCAUGGUGUAGACUGUAGACUAUGAACCAGGUUCACUAUGUUAUCAUAUGUGCCUAACUACCGUAAACCUUAAAGCCUUUCGGUCAUACCACUUUACCGAGUACCUGGGAGUGUGUUCGAAACACCAAAUUCAGUCAAAAAACAUACUCAAAAGUGUUGAACCUUCAGGCCAGAAAUUUAACCACACCAAAACAAAGAGUCGAACUUAUGAAUGGAUAGACAUACUUCAACACAAAAUGCACUAUUGCUGAUACUGGUCAUGAAGGAAAAUUAUGCAAUAUUCAUGCUAGGUAUCAAACAACAUAAUCAUUAAUUAUUAUUAUAAUACAAAAUAUUUAUAAAUCUAACAGUAAAAAUUAUUAUAUUAAUAUAUGUAUCACAGUUAAUAUAAAUAUAAAACCUUUGUUCUGUACAAUUAAAACUAUGUUAAAAUAUGUCUAAAAGUAACAAAUUAAAGAUAUAACAAUUUAUAUAAUUAAUAUUUUAUUGCCUUUGGAAAACUAAAACACAUUAUUGCUUUCAGUAUCAUACAAGUGCCUAGUUACUACAACAAAUAAGUGGAAUGCUAAUUCGAUGUUGGAAAGUCAGUUAAAUUCAUGAAUAUAUAAAUGACAUAUUCAACCAACAAUUAAAAGUUUAGAUUGAUAAAUCAUUUGUCUUCCAAAUAUGAUUCAUGUUCUUAUAGCAUUGUUUAGUCUGUCAAUUUUAGUAUUGAAAAAAAAAUGUAUUAAAUUCUUAAUAUACAUUAAUUCUAUUUUCAAAUGUUUGUUUCUUAGAAAAAAACUUUAAGUAUCUUAGUCUUAAAAUUGAAGUUAGUAUUUAUUUCUCAAAUUUGUUUUUUCCAAAAGUUCUCUUUAAACAAUAAGAAAACCGCCCUGAAAAUAAGUCCCUCUUACAAUGAAACAUAACAAUUAAACUCUUUAAUCAAUGGCACUUAUAGUAGAUAAAACAAUUAAUGACAUCUUUGAUAAAACAUAGAUAAGGUAUUUCUAAGAAAUAAACCCAAAAAAAAUCUCUACAUAUAUAUCUAAAAAUUAAAAACAAAAAAGAUAAAAAGUCAUUUAACAAUUCAAUCAAGACAAGAUAAUCACUUACAAACUGUUCAUACAAAUAUGUUUUUAAUUAGUGACUUGAAUUUACUACAAAAAGACAAAACUUACUUUUAACAAGGAUCCUUUGGAAGACUAUAGUUUGUUCCAAUAAAUUCAAUCAUAUUUGUUUCAAUGUGAUUAGUACAAAGGUACAAAUUCCUUUUUUCUAAAUUCAUCAAAAUUAGGUGUUUGUCCUGUUUUCUGCAAUAUUUAAAUUUUCUAAUGCUUGUUCUACAACUUUGAUAUUACAAUAUUUUUAAUUGACCAAAUUACCAUCCAUUGGGGUUUAAUAUGGAAAAUAUGAUUAUUUUGUAUAUACUACAGUGUAUAGGGCAUCUUUAAGAAAUUAAACCUCAAUGCAUAAAUCAAUAGAUGCAACAAUUUAUAUUUAUAAACAUCAAGGAAAUUCCAAAAAAACACUUAAAACAAAACACACCAUCCUUACGAGGGCUAAAAAAAUGAAUAACAUUAGUUUUCUUGGGACUAUUGAGAAUGAGACAAGAAUACCUUAGAAUUUUCAAGUCAUAGUACAAAUAUGUUUCUUUAUUUUUCAUAU